rnacentral:sRNA from 1 species
CAUAAAAGCAGCAUGGACAACAUGUAGAUGAAUGGUUAUGGUUGUAUUUCAAUAAAACUUUAUUUGCAAAAACAGGCAGUGGGCCAGUGCUAACCCUUGGUUAGCUGGCCUCUCUCCAGCCCUGGCUUUCUGUGGUCCCCUGACUGUUUUGAGAGGUGUAAAGGACUCAGUCAUGGUUCUGAUUUCCAUGCACUGAUGGUGAGCCUUGGCAGGCAGGAGCAACUCAAGGAAGAGAACCUGUACCAGUACCAGUCGGAGCCCGUGACUCCCUCGCCGUGUGGAUGGGGUGGCCACACCUUCCUCACCGUGUUUUGAGGAGCGAGUGGCCGGAGGCUCAGUAGGGCCUAGCCUAGUGGACAUGCCUGGUGUGACCCCAUUUCCGCCCCUUCCUUCCUGGCCUGGGUGACAAAGGGAAGUGGGUGAAAGGAGGUGGGCUGGCAGGGAGCAUGGGGUGGGAGAGGGUCGGAGAAUCUGGAGGCUGACUGGUGUCUGGCUUGCAGGUGGGGAAGCACUACCUGCAGUUGGCCGGCGACACGGAUGAAGAACUCAACAGCUGCACCGCUGUGGACUGGCUGGUCCUUGCCGCGAAGCAGGGCCGUCGGGAGGCUGUGAAGCUGCUUCGCCGGUGCUUGGCGGACAGAAGAGGCAUCACGUCCGAGAACGAACGGGAGGUGAGGCAGCUCUCCUCCGAGACCGACCUGGAGAGGGCCGUGCGCAAGGCAGCCCUGGUCAUGUACUGGAAGCUCAACCCCAAGAAGAAGAAGCAGGUGGCCGUGGCGGAGCUGCUGGAGAAUGUCGGCCAGGUCAACGAGCACGAUGGAGGGGCGCAGCCAGGCCCCGUGCCCAAGUCCCUGCAGAAGCAGAGGCGGAUGCUGGAGCGCCUAGUCAGCAGUGAGUCCAAGAACUACAUCGCGCUGGAUGACUUUGUGGAGAUCACUAAGAAGUAUGCCAAGGGCGUCAUCCCCAGCAGCCUGUUCCUGCAGGACGACGAAGAUGACGACGAGCUGGCGGGGAAGAGCCCUGAGGACCUGCCACUGCGCCUGAAGGUGGUCAAGUACCCCCUGCACGCCAUCAUGGAGAUCAAGGAGUACCUGAUUGACAUGGCCUCCAGGGCGGGCAGGCACUGGCUGUCCACCAUCAUCCCCACGCACCACAUCAAUGCACUCAUCUUCUUCUUCAUCAUCAGCAACCUCACCAUCGACUUCUUCGCCUUCUUCAUCCCGCUGGUCAUCUUCUACCUGUCCUUCAUCUCCAUGGUGAUCUGCACCCUCAAGGUGUUCCAGGACAGCAAGGCCUGGGAGAACUUCCGCACCCUCACCGACCUGCUGCUGCGCUUCGAGCCCAACCUGGAUGUGGAGCAGGCCGAGGUCAACUUCGGCUGGAACCACCUGGAGCCCUAUGCCCAUUUCCUGCUCUCUGUGUUCUUCGUCAUCUUCUCCUUCCCCAUCGCCAGCAAGGACUGCAUCCCCUGCUCGGAGCUGGCUGUCAUUGCCGGCUUCUUUACCGUAACCAGCUACCUGAGCCUGAGCACCCAUGCAGAGCCCUACACGCGCAGGGCCCUGGCCACCGAGGUCACCGCCGGCCUGCUAUCGCUGCUGCCCUCCAUGCCCUUGAAUUGGCCCUACCUGAAGGUCUUUGGCCAGACCUUCAUCACCGUGCCUGUCGGCCACCUGGUCAUCCUCAAUGUCAGCGUUCCCUGCCUGCUCUAUGUCUACCUGCUCUAUCUCUUCUUCCGCAUGGCACAGCUGAGGAAUUUCAAGGGCACCUACUGCUACCUUGUGCCCUACCUGGUGUGCUUCAUGUGGUGUGAGCUCUCCGUGGUCAUCCUGCUGGAGUCCACCGGCCUGGGGCUGCUCCGCGCCUCCAUCGGCUACUUCCUCUUCCUCUUUGCCCUCCCCAUCCUGGUGGCCGGCCUGGCCCUGGUGGGCGUGCUGCAGUUCGCCCGGUGGUUCACGUCUCUGGAGCUCACCAAGAUCGCAGUCACCGUGGCGGUCUGUAGUGUGCCCCUGCUGUUGCGCUGGUGGACCAAGGCCAGCUUCUCUGUGGUGGGGAUGGUGAAGUCCCUGACGCGGAGCUCCAUGGUCAAGCUCAUCCUGGUGUGGCUCACGGCCAUCGUGCUGUUCUGCUGGUUCUAUGUGUACCGCUCAGAGGGCAUGAAGGUCUACAACUCCACACUGACCUGGCAGCAGUAUGGUGCGCUGUGCGGGCCACGCGCCUGGAAGGAGACCAACAUGGCGCGCACCCAGAUCCUCUGCAGCCACCUGGAGGGCCACAGGGUCACGUGGACCGGCCGCUUCAAGUACGUCCGCGUGACUGACAUCGACAACAGCGCCGAGUCUGCCAUCAACAUGCUCCCGUUCUUCAUCGGCGACUGGAUGCGCUGCCUCUACGGCGAGGCCUACCCUGCCUGCAGCCCUGGCAACACCUCCACGGCCGAGGAGGAGCUCUGUCGCCUUAAGCUGCUGGCCAAGCACCCCUGCCACAUCAAGAAGUUCGACCGCUACAAGUUUGAGAUCACCGUGGGCAUGCCCUUCAGCAGCGGCGCCGACGGCUCGCGCAGCCGCGAGGAGGAUGACGUGACCAAGGACAUCGUGCUGCGGGCCAGCAGCGAGUUCAAGAGCGUGCUGCUCAGCCUGCGCCAGGGCAGCCUCAUCGAGUUCAGCACCAUCCUGGAGGGCCGCCUGGGCAGCAAGUGGCCUGUCUUCGAGCUCAAGGCCAUCAGCUGCCUCAACUGCAUGGCCCAGCUCUCGCCCACCAGGCGGCACGUAAAGAUCGAGCACGACUGGCGCAGCACCGUGCAUGGCGCCGUGAAGUUCGCCUUCGACUUCUUUUUCUUCCCGUUCCUGUCGGCGGCCUGAGGAUGGUCCGCCACGAGGAGCUUCCAGUGCAUGUUGCUGUGAGGCCCUUCCCCAGUGUGGCCCCAGCCCGACAGGCAUGCACCAGUGCCGUCUGUGCCCACGUGUACAGACUGUGGCUGCAGAGACCUUGCGACCACGUGUAGAUUGCGUGGACCCCGACAAAGGGGAGGCUGCUGUGUAGCUCUGUCCACUCUGAAUACCAAGUGUGUUGGGAAUUGCAUGCCAUCUCCACCCUGAGCCCGACCUUUCCGAGUGACGUGGGUGUGCCAGGCUAGACUAGGAGGUUCCGGUGUCUGGAAAAGCACUUUACAGAUGAGAUUCCCUCUCCUCCCCUACCUUCAAGCACCCUGUUGCCUCUUUCUUUUGUGUUGGAUUUGUUUAAAAACUAAAUAAGCAUCUGUGUAACCUCCACAGUAGCAUUUCUUAUUUGUUUGGUCACUGCUAAACCUUAGCAGCUCUUCCCCUUUCGUGGGGGAUGUGCACGGCAGCUUGAGCCUGUCACGUGGUCAAGGCCUGGCCCCCCAUCAGAGGCUGGGGGAGGCGGCACACUGGCAGUGUGUCACACUGAGCUGGGCACCACAGGCUGCCUCAUGACCCUCCUGUCCAGCAGGUAGUGGGUGAAUGUGUGAAGGUGUUGCCUGAAUCCAUCAGGACUUGGGAAACAGAGAACCCUGUGGGGGCGGCUGUGGGAGAGGUCCCUGCCAGUGUUUAGAAGAGCCUGACUGUGUUCAGUGCCUUGGAGCAGAAAGCCAGGGUCCUGAGUGGCUGAAAUAAAAGCCUCUGGUGGAACCUGCA